GACGAACGCUGGCGGCGUGCUUAACACAUGCAAGUCGAACGGAAAGGCCCUGCUUUUGUGGGGUGCUCGAGUGGCGAACGGGUGAGUAACACGUGAGUAACCUGCCCUUGACUUUGGGAUAACUUCAGGAAACUGGGGCUAAUACCGGAUAGGAGCUCCUGCUGCAUGGUGGGGGUUGGAAAGUUUCGGCGGUUGGGGAUGGACUCGCGGCUUAUCAGCUUGUUGGUGGGGUAGUGGCUUACCAAGGCUUUGACGGGUAGCCGGCCUGAGAGGGUGACCGGCAAAAUGGGACCGGGGAACCGGCCCGAACUCUUCGGGGGGCAAGAGGGGGGAAAAAUUCCAAAAGGGGGGAAAGCUUGUGCAAGCACCCCGGGUGGGGGGAGACGGCCUUUCGGUGGUAAACCCGCUUUGCCUGUUGCGGAAGCGUGGGUGCGGUAAUUGGGAAAGAAGCACCGGCUAACUACGU
rnacentral:rRNA from 1 species